GAUGAACGCUGGCGGCGUGCCUAAUACAUGCAAGUCGAGCGAACGGACGAGAAGCUUGCUUCUCUGAUGUUAGCGGCGGACGGGUGAGUAACACGUGGAUAACCUACCUAUAAGACUGGGAUAACUUCGGGAAACCGUAGCUAAUACCGGAUAAUAUUUUGAACCGCAUGGUUCAAAAGUGAAAGACGGUCUUGCUGUCACUUAUAGAUGGAUCCGCGCUGCAUUAGCUAGUUGGUAAGGUAACGGCUUACCAAGGCAACGAUGCAUAGCCGACCUGAGAGGGUGAUCGGCCACACUGGAGCUGAGCCACGGUCAAGACUACUACGGGAGGCAGCAGUAGGGAAUCUUCCGCAGUGGGCGAAAGCCUGACGGAGCAACGCCGCGUGAGUGAUGAAGGUCUUCGGAUCGUAAAACUCUGUUAUUAGGGAAGAACAUAUGUGUAAGUAACUGUGCACAGCUUGACGGUACCUAAUCAGAAAGCCACGGCUAACUACGUG
rnacentral:rRNA from 1 species